rnacentral:snRNA from 1 species
GAAUGUGAGGGGCUUUCUGGUUGUGCCAUUGGUCACCCCUUUGAUUGCCGGGGUUAAGCAGACUGAUUUGACUGAGUACAUUGGUGUCCCCUUCCUCUCUUAUUGCUGCGUCGGCAUCCCUCCCCUCAGAAGCUGUAUGCAUGUGAAAGAGGAUGAUCACCCCGUAGAAGUCCUUUCCUUCUGGCAAGGGUGUAGGAGUAGCUGUGCUUCCCUGCUUGAACCUCCAAACAAGCUCACAAGGAUAACUGCGAUAAAUCUGUGUCAGUAAUUCAACGCAGUAGGCGCAAAAGAAAAUUGCACCAUGUAAUCAGUUU